rnacentral:lncRNA from 1 species
GGAGCCGAGCGGCGUGCAGAGGCUACAAGUGCCGUAGCUGGUGAUUGGGGGACUUUCUCCGGGAACCGUGCCGGGAGAGCGCGCGGUGCUGGAGCCGCACCGGGUGGCCGAAGCAGAAGAGACAUGGUCUGGCUAUGUUGCCUAGGCUGAUCAUGAACUCCUGGGCUCAAGCUAUUCUCCAAACCUGGCCUCCCAAAGUCCUGGGAUUCCAGCAGAGAAGAUUCAAGAAGAUUCCAGAAGUGGUCAAGACAUUGAUGUUAAACAUAAUGUUUCAGUGAAGGAUGUUUGAUUCCAAGACCUCUGGAAAAGAUUCUUUAUCUACAGUUUCUAAGAUGGCAGAUUUGCAGAACUUAAAAGAAUACUGUAAGAUUGGGAUUGAUGCCACCUGAAAGUGAAGAGCCAAACUGAAAACGUCAUAAGUGUCUUAAGAAGUUCGACUUUAAACUAAAUUCAAGGCCAUUUAUGGACAGAAUACCAUGGUGGGUGGUGUCAUCACUAUAUGUGAUACAGCAAGAGCUUCUACAAUAUAAUUAGUGAUUAUUGCAUUCAAUUUAAUCAAAGAAUAGUUUACCAUAACACCAACAGGCCAUCAUUUUAUAGUUAUCAGGUGGACCAGAGACCAGAAUCUAAUUGCGCAGAUUCUCUUAAUAAAAUGUUAGUCUAUAUGUUUGUUUAUUGGCUGGUUGGUCUAAAGUGGUUGGUUUAUUCAUUUUAGACAUUCUAAUUUUUGACUCCUCGAUGUAUAUAUUGUGCAUUUUACGCCAAUGCACUUUCAAAUGAAACUGUUGAAUUUCCUCUGCAGAUUAGUUAGAUUAUAUUUUUCAAAGGGGACCUCAACAAUGAUACACAUUCUGCAUGCUCUCCUGUCAUGUGACCUUGUCCAAUUCUGAACAUCAAAAGCUGGAGUGUAUUUCUUCACUUCCUUGAAUCUGGGAGGCCCUGUGAUUAUUUUGACCAAUAAAGCACAGGGUUGAAGUGUGAUCACAUGCAAGAAAUGUGAUUACCCCAAGAUUACUGCACUGUGAGAAGCCCAAGCCAAGUGGAAAGGCUCUGGACGGUGAGUUGCCAUGCAGGCAGAGGCAGGCCAAGGAAAACCAUAGCACCUGACAGUGAAUGAAAGUCAUCUUGGAGUAUAUCCUCCAGUCCCACUGCCUCAGCUGACACCAUAGGGAUAAAAGACAAACCACCCAGUCAAGCUAUUCCUGAGUUCCUUACCUCCAAAACCAUGAGUACAAUAAAAUGGAUGAUUUAAGCA